UGAACUGAUUGAAUCCAAUUCAAUCAGACUUGAUCCAGACUUUAAUGCUCAAUCAAAUUGAGUUAAUUAAUGAUCUAAUCAUAAUUAAUUCUUCAUUAAUGAUAGAGUCCCAGUCUAGUGGGACUCUUCACUAGAGUCUCUGUCUAGUGGGACUCUUCAGUAGAGUCUCCAUCCAGUGGGACUCUCUUUGAGAGUUUCAGUCUAGUGAAACUCUUCAGAUUAGCCAUCUGAUCGGAGAAAAACUUCUAAUGUAUGUGACCUCAUAGGUUCGAACCUAAGCCGGUAGCACAGGAACAGAUUUCUGUACCAAUCGGAGUAACCAUCUAGCAAUGGUACCCGACAUCCGGAUAGGUCGAAUGUAUGCAAAGCAACACUCAAGAACCUAUUUGGAUAUAGUUACUGUAUAAUUCAUCCCUUUGACCCUUGAUGCUAGGAUGACUUAGAGUUUAAAUUGUCAACUCUUAACAGUACAUCCAUUAUGUAUGUCAACCUAAUAAAUCUUGACUCCUCACAAGUACUGCCCUGCUCAAGGUCUUACUAAAUUGAAAUACAAAGCAUUUUCUCCAAUCUUUUAGAGUGGUCAAUUCUAUCUUGACUCAUGCACUGACUUCACAAGUACUUGACUGUGCCCAAAAAUCUUUUGAUCUCGAAUUAGAAAUUUAGGUAGUCUGACACCAAAGCACAGUGAGUUGCUUACAAGUCACUGUGGUGAUCUC
rnacentral:lncRNA from 1 species